AGACUGUUUAAAAAAAAAAAUGUUUUAGCUUUAACUGCUUUUUUUUUGUUGUUGGUGUAAUGAUAUCACAGAGAGAAGAAAGAGAAGAGAAGAAGCAGAGAGUGAUGGGAGAUAAGAAAUUGAUUUCAUCUUCUUCUUCUUCCUCGGUUUACGAUACUCGUAUCAAUCAUCAUCUUCAUCAUCCUCCGUCUUCUUCCGACGAAAUCUCUCAGUUUCUCCGGCAUAUUUUCGACCGUUCUUCUCCUUUACCUUCUUACUACUCCCCGGCGACGACUACAACGACGGCGUCUUUGAUUGGUGUGCACGGGAGCGGUGACCCACAUGCAGAUAACUCGAGAAGUCUCGUUUCUCAUCAUCCACCGUCAGAUUCUGUGCUUAUGUCGAAA
rnacentral:sRNA from 1 species